UUCGCAAUGCCCGAAAGGGUGACGAAGCGACGCCGCGUGUGGGAAGAAGGCCUUCGGGUUGUAAACCACUGUCGGGAGUUAAGAAAUGUAAGGGUGUUAAUAGCAUUCUUACUUGACGUUAGCUCCGGAGGAAGCCACGGCUAACUCUGUGCCAGCAGCCGCGGUAAUACAGAGGUGGCAAGCGUUGUUCGGAAUUAUUGGGCGUAAAGAGCACGUAGGCGGCCCUGCAAGUCAGCUGUGAAAUCCUUCUGCUCAACGGAAGAACGGCAGUUGAUACUACAGGGCUCGAGUGCGGGAGGGGAGAGUGGAACUUCUGGUGGAGCGGUGAAAUGCGUAGAUAUCUGAAGGAACAUCGGCGGCGAAAGCGACUCUCUGGCCCGUAACUGACGCUGAGUGUGCGAAAGCUAGGGGAUCAAACGGGAUUAGAUACCCCGGUAGUCCUAGCCGUAAACGAUGGGCACUAAGUAGAGGGGUUUU
rnacentral:rRNA from 1 species